UCUUCAUAUAUUCAGUAACAUAUAUCUAUAUUUAUGUCCAUAUCUCACUGGACUACAUUAAUUCAAUAGUAGGACAAGGAGGACAAGCAGGAAAAAAGAGGGACAGGUCAACAUUUAUUGAGCAAUCAGUGUGUGGGGAUGUAUUCAAUAUCAUUUUCCAGAACAGAAGUUGGGGGAGGACAGAACACAAGCUUUGCCUUUUGGCACUACUCUAAGACUAAGGCUUGCUGAACUUUCCAAGAAGACUGAGCACAAAUUGAUUAUUAUGGACCUUCACCUGGGUUAGAUCGCUGACCAGGA